rnacentral:rRNA from 1 species
UACGGGGGGGGCAAGCGUUGUUCGGAAUUACUGGGCGUAAAGGGCUCGUAGGCGGCCAACUAAGUCGGACGUGAAAUCCCUCGGCUUAACCGGGGAACUGCGUCCGAUACUGGAUGGCUUGAGUUUGGGAGAGGGAUGCGGAAUUCCAGGUGUAGCGGUGAAAUGCGUAGAUAUUAGGAAGAACACCAGUGGCGAAGGCGGCUCACUGGCCCGGUACUGACGCUGAGGCGCGAAAGCGUGGGGAGCAAACAGG